CUUUCCAACUCAAAAAAAGGCAAACAAGAUGGAAAUAAUGGAGUUAAGUGCAAAAUAUGGCUCUAUGGGGUACUUCGAGUCUACAAGUUCCAUUCACAGCAUGACAAAUUUUUAGAAGGGUUGAAACUGUCUGCUAAAGCAGAAAGCAUCUAUGGUAAAAAAAAAAAACUGGCCAGCAGCCACUCUAAUUCUUCCUAACAUCGCCCCCAACUCCAUCACCUUAACCAAUAGGGUGUCGUCUCCUCUUCGGUCGGCCUCGGUCUUCCUCAUAAUCCAUCACUCCACCAGAUUCAGAG
rnacentral:misc_RNA from 1 species